rnacentral:rRNA from 1 species
UGAGGAAUAUUGGUCAAUGGACGCAAGUCUGAACCAGCCAAGUAGCGUGCAGGAUGACGGCCCUAUGGGUUGUAAACUGCUUUUAUAUGGGGAUAAAGUGGGGAACGUGUUCCCUUUUGCAGGUACCAUAUGAAUAAGGACCGGCUAAUUCCUUGCCAGCAGCCGCGGUAAUACGGAAGGUUCGGGCGUUAUCCGGAUUUAUUGGGUUUAAAGGGAGCGUAGGCCGUUUGGUAAGCGUGUUGUGAAAUGUAGGAGCUCAACUUCUAGAUUGCAGCGCGAACUGUCAGACUUGAGUGCGCACAACGUAGGCGGAAUUCAUGGUGUAGCGGUGAAAUGCUUAGAUAUCAUGAAGAACUCCGAUUGCGAAGGCAGCUUACGGGAGCGCAACUGACGCUGAAGCUCGAAGGUGCGGGUAUCGAACAGG